rnacentral:tRNA from 1 species
GGAGAGUUCGCCUAGAGGUCUAUGGCACUUGCUUGGAGUGCAAGCGGGUUAAUAGCCCACGAGGGUUCGAAUCCCUCACUCUCCG